rnacentral:rRNA from 1 species
AACGAACGCUGGCGGCAGGCUUAACACAUGCAAGUCGAGCGCCCCGCAAGGGGAGCGGCAGACGGGUGAGUAACGCGUGGGAACGUACCCUUUACUACGGAAUAACGCAUGGAAACGUGUGCUAAUACCGUAUGUGCCCUUCGGGGGAAAGAUUUAUCGGUAAAGGAUCGGCCCGCGUUGGAUUAGCUAGUUGGUGGGGUAAAGGCCUACCAAGGCGACGAUCCAUAGCUGGUCUGAGAGGAUGAUCAGCCACAUUGGGACUGAGACACGGCCCAAACUCCUACGGGAGGCAGCAGUGGGGAAUAUUGGACAAUGGGCGCAAGCCUGAUCCAGCCAUGCCGCGUGAGUGAUGAAGGCCCUAGGGUUGUAAAGCUCUUUCACCGGUGAAGAUAAUGACGGUAACCGGAGAAGAAGCCCCGGCUAACUUCGUGCCAGCCGCCGCCGUAAUAC